rnacentral:rRNA from 1 species
UACGUAGGGUGCAAGCGUUGUCCGGAAUUAUGGGGCGUAAAGAGCUCGUAGGCGGCUUGUCACGUCUGCUGUGAAAACUCGGGGCUCAACCUCGAGCCUGCAGUGGAUACGGGCUAGCUAGAGUGCGGUAGGGGAGACUGGAAUUCCUGGUGUAGCGGUGAAAUGCGCAGAUAUCAGGAGGAACACCGGUGGCGAAGGCGGGUCUCUGGACCGAUACUGACGCUGAGGAGCGAAAGCGUGGGGAGCGAACAGG